rnacentral:rRNA from 1 species
CACGUAGGAGGCGAGCGUUGUCCGGAAUCAUUGGGCGUAAAGGGUGCGUAGGCGGGUCUUUAAGUCAGGGGUGAAAUCCUGGAGCUCAACUCCAGAACUGCCUUUGAUACUGAAGAUCUUGAGUUCGGGAGAGGUGAGUGGAACUGCGAGUGUAGAGGUGAAAUUCGUAGAUAUUCGCAAGAACACCAGUGGCGAAGGCGGCUCACUGGCCCGAUACUGACGCUGAGGCACGAAAGCGUGGGGAGCAAACAGG